UACGAAGGGGGCUAGCGUUGCUCGGAAUCACUGGGCGUAAAGCGCACGUAGGCGGCUUUUUAAGUCAGGGGUGAAAUCCUGGAGCUCAACUCCAGAACUGCCUUUGAUACUGAGAAGCUUGAGUCCGGGAGAGGUGAGUGGAACUGCGAGUGUAGAGGUGAAAUUCGUAGAUAUUCGCAAGAACACCAGUGGCGAAGGCGGCGCACUGGCCCGGUACUGACGCUGAGAUGCGAAAGCGUGGGGAGCAAACAGG
rnacentral:rRNA from 1 species